UGCAAGCGUUAUCCGGAUUCACUGGGUUUAAAGGGUGCGUAGGUGGGCUGGUAAGUCAGUGGUGAAAUCUCCAGGCUUAACUUGGAAACUGCCAUUGAUACUAUCAGUCUUGAAUACCGUGGAGGUCAGCGGAAUAUGUCAUGUAGCGGUGAAAUGCUUAGAUAUGACAUAGAACACCAAUUGCGAAGGCAGCUGGCUACACGAAUAUUGACACUGAUGCACGAAAGCGUGGGGAUCAAACAGG
rnacentral:rRNA from 1 species